CCAGCCUCUCCUCUGUGAAACAGAAAAGGGAGAAAUGCUACCCCAAGUGUGCUACUAAGCUGUGCGCAGCGGCGCUGUGCUCAGGGCUGAAGGAAGACAGCCAUCCCGAAUGCAGAGACACCCACAGGGCUGGGCCAGCCUCUCCCUUCUCUUCCAUCAGCGCAAACCUCCAACAGUGGCCCAACUCACACGUGUCCUUUGCCCGGGGCUUCUGUGAGCCACUGAGCUCGAGGCCCUGCUCUUUCCCCGGAACUCCAAGAGCUCGCCCUGUGGAUCGGGUGGCUGACGACGGCUCGGAGGAGCAGGGCGAACAGGAGAGGAGCUGCACAGAGAGCCGGUAGCUAUGCAGAGAAGAUUUGGAGUGACUCAAGUAAUAAAUAUAUGAUCCAGC